UUUAUACGACCGCAAAAAAAUUUUUGUGGUCGUAUAUUGAUAUGACGUUGGCGUCGUCGUCCGAAGACACAUUAGUUUUCGCACUCUAACUUUAGUUUAAGUGAAUGGAUCUCAAUGAAAUUUUACCAUAAGGUUAAAUACCACAAAAGGAAGGUGGGGAUUGAUUUUGGGGGUUAUGGUACAAACAGUUUAGGAAUUAGGGGCCAAAAAUAAGCAUUUUUGUAACUUCCAGACAUAACUUGUGUGUAAGUGUAUGGAUCUCUCUGACAUUGUACCACAAGGUUCCAUAUCACAAAGGGAAUGCUGGGAUUGAUUUUGGGGGUAAUUGCCUCCAAAUUUUAGGAAUGAGGGGCCAAAAAGGGGCAAAAAACAAGCAUUUUUCUAGUUUCAUGACAAUAACUUGUGUGUAAGUCUAUGGAUCUCUCUGACAUUGUAUCACAAGGUUCCAUAUCACAAAGGGAAUGCUGGGAUUGAUUUUGGAGGUAAUUGCCUCCAAAUUUUAGGAAUUAGGGGCCAAAAAGGGGCAAAAAACAAGCAUUUUUCUAGUUUCAUGACAAUAACUUGUGUGUAAGUGUAUGGAUCUUUCUGAAAUUGUACUACAAGGUUCCAUAUCACAAAGGGAAAGCUGGAAUUGAGUUUGGGGGUAAUUGCCCAAAAAGUUUAGGAAUAAGGGGCCAAAAAUAAGCAUUUUUCUAGUUUCCAGACAAUAACUUGUGUUCAAGUGUAUGGAUCUCUCUGAAAUUGUACUGCAAGGUACCAUACCACAAAGAGAAGGCUGGGAUUGAGUUUGGAGGUGAUGAAUCAUAAGGGGGUUCAAAAA